rnacentral:rRNA from 1 species
AGACCGGUCCAAGCACAGGAGGCGUUGCGCAGGCAAAUCCGCGCAAUAAGCCAAAGGUGUGACGGGGAGCGAAAUUAUAGUAGCGAAGUCCGGAUACAUGCUGUCAAGAAAAGCCGCUAUUGCGCCAUAUGUACCCGUACCGUAAACCGACACAGGUGGAUGAGGAGAGAAUCCUAAGGCCGGCGGGAGAAGUGUUGUUAAGGAACUCGGCAAAAUGGCCCCGUAACUUCGGGAGAAGGGGCGCCCAGAAAUGGGCCGCAGAGAAAAGGCUCAAGCAACUGCUUAGCAAAAACACAGGUCUAUGCGAAACCGAAAGGUGAGGUAUAUGGGCUGACGCCUGCCCGGUGCUGGAAGGUUAAGGGGAGAGGUUAGCCGCAAGGCGAAGCUUUGAACUUAAGCCCCAGUAAACGGCGGCCGUAACGAUAACGGUCCUAAGGUAGCGAAAUUCCUUGUCGGGUAAGUUCCGACCCGCACGAAAGGCGUAAUGAUUUGAGCACUGUCUCGACAACACACCCGGUGAAAUUGAAAUACCAGUGAAGAUGCUGGUUACCUGCGCCAGGACGGAAAGACCCCAUGGAGCUUUACUCUAGUUUGAUACUGGGACCCGGUAUGACAUGUACAGGAUAGGUGGGAGGCAGAGAAUUAAUGACGCCAGUCAUUAAGGAGCCGCUGUUGGGAUACCACCCUUGUGAUGCCAGGUUUCUAACGAGCUGCCGUGAACCGGCAGGCGGACAAUGUCAGGCGGGGAGUUUGACUGGGGCGGUCGCCUCCGAAAGGGUAUCGGAGGCGCUCAAAGGUUCCCUCAGAAUGGUUGGAAACCAUUCGGAGAGUGCAAAGGCAGAAGGGAGCCUGACUGCGACACCGACGGGUGGAGCAGGUACGAAAGUAGGACUUAGUGAUCCGGUGGUAUAAAGUGGGAUUGCCAUCGCUCAACGGAUAAAAGCUACCCUGGGAUAACAGGCUUAUCACUCCCAAGAGUUCACAUCGACGGAGUGGUUUGGCACCUCGAUGUCGGCUCAUCGCAUCCUGGGGCUGGAGUAGGUCCCAAGGGUUGGGCUGUUCGCCCAUUAAAGCGGUACGCGAGCUGGGUUCAGAACGUCGUGAGACAGUUCGGUCCCUAUCCGGCGCGGGCGUAAGAGAUCUGAGAGGAGCUGUCCUUAGUACGAGAGGACCGGGAUGGACGGACCACUGGUGUAUCUGUUGCACCACCAGGUGCACGGCAGAGUAGCCAAGUCCGGACGGGAUAAACGCUGAAGGCAUCUAAGCGUGAAGCCCCCCUCAAGAUGAGAUCUUUCAUUCGAAAGAAGUAAGACCCCUUGAAGACGACGAGGUAGAUAGGGCAGGGGUGGAAGGGCAGUAAUGUCCGGAGCUGACUGUUACUAAUCGGUCGAGGGCUUGACC